UGUUUUGUUACUUUUGUAAUCCCUCUCUCAGAGAGAAACGAUUCAUUUCUUCAACACCCUUUUUCUUAUUUUUCCUCUUCCUCCCUCUCUUACAGUGAAGCAGUCGAGGAGAAGUGGGUUAUACACUAAUCAAAACUUCUGCUAAUGUUGUCGAAGCAAAUCGUUUUUUUUUUGGUCAAGAAUUUCAUCGAGCCCUUAAAAUUCACUGGAUGAAAUCAUAUACAGGAAACAGAUUUACAAAACAGCAGAAUCGAUGUGAUUUUUAGAGAUGCACAAAGAACUAUCUAGGGUUUAAUUUGGAAUUUUUCAUUUCGCAAACCGAAGCAGCAGCAUUUUAGUUGAACCUGAUGCAGUUGAUUCAGUGGAAAGAAGGGAAAGAAAAAUAUACAGUAAGCAGUGGAGACCAAAUUUGCACUCCAGAAUGUCCGUUUUCAUGUUCUUCCGAUUGGUGUCUGAUCAUCCUCUUCAUACUAAUCAGUUCCUUUUUGAAUAAGUUAGGGAAACUGGCCGCCCUUAUCGAUGCAGCUGAGGAAUAUCGAUACAAUAUGAGACGCCUAUAUCAAGUAUCAACUAGAAAAUGUCCGAGUUCCGUUGGGGAGGAAACUCCAAGAAAAACCAUAUGUUGUGUAUCACGUAUUUUGUUCUUAUGUGCACUUAGUGUAUCGCAUUUUUGCACAAUGCUUAUGGUGAUCGAGAUGGGUACUUGGCUGAUAAAGGCAAUAGUAGUGUCUGCAGCAACAGUGGGGUAAAUUCAAAUUAUUUACCCUUCGAGUUCCACUGUACAUAUACUUAGAGCUUCUCCAAUGGUGGUUGUGUGUGUUUCCUAGGUGGCAACACAAACAAGACAUCCUCAUUUUAAUUUUUCCUUAAGUUUUGGGAGGAAGAAUAGUUCAUCUCUAAAGUGGUGUUGUUUGUGAUAUUUUAUGGAUUAAAUGUAAAUUUUAUUUUUAGUAAUUUUUAGAUUUUAUUAGAGCUAAAAA